rnacentral:rRNA from 1 species
AGCAGCCGCGGUAAUUCCAGCUCCAAUAGCGUAUAUUAAAGUUGUUGCAGUUAAAAAGCUCGUAGUUGAAUUUCGGGACCAAUCUGCCGGUCGUGCCUCCGGUACGCACUGGUUUUAUUGGUUUCUCCCUUCUGACGAACCAUGAUGUCAUUAAUUUGGUGUCAUGGGGAAUCAGGACUGUUACUUUGAAAAAAUUAGAGUGUUUAUAGCAGGCUCACGCUUGAAUACAUUAGCAUGGAAUAAUGAAAUAGGACGUUUGACCCUAUUUUGUUGGUUUCUAGGAUCGACGUAAUGAUUAAUAGGGAUAGUUGGGGGCAUUAGUAUUCAAUUGUCAGAGAUGAAAUUCUUGGAUUUAUUGAAGACUAACUAACUGCGAAAGCAUUUGCCAAGGAUGUUUUCAUUAAUCAAGAACGAAAGUUAGGGGAUCGAAGACGAUCAGAUACCGUCGUAGUCUUAACCAUAAACUAAUGCCGACUAGGGAUCGGAUGAUGUUAAUUUUUAAUGACUCAUUCGGCGCCUU